CGGGGUGUAGCGCAGAUGGCAGCGCGCCUGCUUUGGGAGCAGGAUGUCACAGGUUCGAUCCCUGUCACUCCGA
rnacentral:tRNA from 1 species